rnacentral:lncRNA from 1 species
GGGAAUCGUAAUUAACAAAAACCCUAAAGGCAGGCCACCUACGGGAAAGUCAAAUACGAGCCGACCUAGGCCAUGUGAUGGGAGUAAGGUCUCCAAUGUUGAUAAGACAUCACAAAACUGUUUGUCAAAUUGGAGGUGGCUCUCAUAGAUUGGACGCUGCAUGGGAAGGUAACCCUAUUUCGACCAAAGCUGAUAGUUCUAUUAGGAAAAAAUUAACCCUUGAACCCACACUGGAAAAUGGCUCGGAGGGGGGACCAAAGGAGGUGGCAACGGGCAAGUUUCUGGAGAAGAGCCUUCGGUUAGGGGAUCAGGUCGAGACUUGCAAACGGGAUGAUGAUAGAAUGGAUGGACGAGAACAAUCCAAUCCAGGACCGACUAUCCUCCACCACGAGGGGAACGCUGUCGAGAGGGAUAAGGAGGACUCCAAGUUGGGAACAAGCAAGGCCACAGCAAUAAGCGUUCUCUCAAGAGCGAUUUCUUCAACGGAGAAAUUCAAACGGAAACACCAAACGAAAGAAGUCACAAGCAGUGGAAGAGAGGCGCUUAGUGCCGACCCUCAUCUUGUCGCCACCUAUUUGGCCAUUUCCUCCAUGGCCCUUCGAUCCAUAGGAACAUAUGAACCAGAGAUCCUGGAGCAACGAAAGGGAGGAACAAUGGAUUAUGGAGAUUCCACAGUACCGUCUAGAGGAGGAACCUUUGGAGUUUCACCUUAUGGACCAAAAAUUCACUGCGUUCGAGUUGAGAGUGAACCUACUAAUCCAGCAGUUCCGAAUCUGAGUACGGCCUAUAAGGUUCAAGGGCAGAUCGAGCUUCAUGAACAAAGUGGAGAUGAAUCCUUGGUUCAAUCCCAACUUGAUAAGGGGCUUUGAAAGGGACCCGACACAUCCUUCUAACCAACCAUUCGAUAAUCAUAUCACUAUCAUUAGCAGGAACUGUAGGGGUGCACGGCAUGCGGACUUUGGUAAAACUGUUAGGGAUUUGGCUAGUGUUUAUAACCCUCAUUUGAUGGUUAUCACUGAAACGAGGGCUAGGGGUAUAGAUGUACCUAGGAUUUUAGCGAGCUUACCUUUUGACAGAUGGAUGGAUACUCGCACAAAUGGUUCAAAGGGGGCAUUUGGAUACUUUGGAGGUCCAAGACGAUCGACGUGGAGGAACUUUGCUCUACAGAGCAGGAGAUCCAUGCGUUGGUUAAGUUACGUGACUCUAACUUUACUUGGAUUUUGUCUGCAAUUUAUGCUAGUCCGAUAUUUAGUGAACCUAAACUUUUGUGAGAGAACUUAGCUUUAAUUGCUAGUAAAUAUUAGCUUCCUUGAGCUAUAAUGGGGGACUUUAAUGAGGUCCUAUCUAGUAGUAAUAAGAAAGGAGGAUUGCCUGUAAAUUCAAAUAGGUGAAAUGCCUUCUAUAAGUGUCCCAACUCUUAUAAUGUGAUGGACUUAGGCUUUUGGGGUCCACGCUUUAGAUGGAAAAACGGUAGGGAACUUUCCUCAUUAAUCCAAGAAAGGAUUGAUUAUAUCUUUGCGAACCCUGAGUGGAAAGUGAUCUACCCAAAUGCCUUGAUUUCUCAUCUUCCUAGAGUUAGAUCGGAUCAUUCACCAUUCUUGUUAAGGUUGAUUAAUUGCUCGAUGCCAAGUGGAAACAAACUGUUUAGGUUUUAGAAAAUGUGGUUGAGACAUCCUGAAUUUCAAAGUACGAUAAACCCUUUUUGGAGUUGCAUUGAACAACCAAUUAAUUCUAUGAUUAAAUCCUAUGCCGAUUACUUGAAGAUUUGGAAUCGGGCAACCUUUGGAAAUGUGUUCAUUAAUAAGAAGAAGUUGAUGGCUCGGCUUGUGGGCAUUGAGAGAGCUCUUGAAAAUAAUUCUAAUAAUCAUCUCCUAGAACUUCAACGAAAGCUAACUUGUGGAUACCAAGAGAUUUUGGCCCAAGAAAAGGAUUUAUGGGUUAUGAAGUCCAGAGUGAAUUGGAUUAUUGAAGGUGAACGAAACACCCGCUUUUUCCACCUCAGUACAAUCAAAAGGAGAAGUUUUAAUCGUAUUUUGGCACUGAAAAAUGAUAGAGGAGAUUGGAUUUAUGAGAAGAGUGGCAUUACUUAUAUCAUACAACAGUACUUUGAAGGGCUCUUCACCUUUGAUCAAGAAUGGGAUUUGCGUAAGAUCGAGACCUCGCCCUUAGACUAGCCGAUACUCAACGUGGAGAAUCAGAAUGCCCUCUUUGACCCGAUUAGCGAGAUUGAGGUGGCAAGGGUUGUUUGGUCUUUUAAACCCUUGAAGGCCUCCGGACUUAAUGGCCUUCAUCCAAUCUCUUUUCAAGUGUUAGCAGCAGGUUAAAUAAAAAAUAUUUUCUAUGGUCAAGGAAACCUUCGACUUGGGCAAGCUAUUAGAAGGGACUAACAAUACCCUCAUUGUUCCAUUAGCCUUUGUAACACCACUUACAAAUUUAUUACGAAACUGAUGGUGCAAAAGCUAAGACCUAUGUUUGGUAAGCUCAUUUCCCCCUUACAAGGAAGCUUUGUCUUAGGUAGACAAAUUACGGACAAUGUCAUUUUUGCUCAAGAAAUUAUACAUUUCAUGAGACAUAGGAAAGAAAAAUGUGGAUACAUGAUCAUUAAAAUUGAUAUGGAGAAAACUUACCAUAAAUUGGAAUGGGACUUUAUUAGGAAAGUCCUUACCUAUUUCCAUUUUCCGGUAGAGUGGAUUGGAGUGUGUAUCCAAAUCUUCUAUGUCGGUAAUUGUUAAUGGUAAGAAACCUCCGGAGUUUAGCCCUACUCAAGAUAUAAAACAAGGAGACCCUUUUAUCUCCUUAUUUAUUUAUCAUGCGUAUGGAAUUCAUAAAGCUUGCAUGGAGAAAAAAUGGAGGCCUUUAAAGGCGUCUAGGGGAGGACCAGAAAUAUCGCAUUUGUUCUUUGUCGAUGAUGUUUUACUUUUUGCUAAAGUUGAUAAAGGCUCAGUCCAAUUAAUCAAACAUAUCUUGAUGAAUUUUUCAAAGGAAUCGGGCAAAAAAUCAGCUUGGAGAAAUCAAGAAAUUUUUCUCUCCAAAUACAAACACUCGACUAACGGAAGAAGUUUGUAAUGAGCUCCAAAUCAGGGCUACGGUUGAACUGGGCCGUUAUUUGGGUUUCCCUCUACUCAAUUCUAGGGUGAAAAUUUUUUAUUAUGAGUUUGUUGCGGACAAAGUCAGACAAAAGCUUUGUGGUUGGAAAGCUAAUUUGUUGUUACCAGCGGGGAGUAAGGUUCCUUGCUCCCCUUAAGCAUUUGCAGGGACCUUGAUAGAAUUAAGCGUAACUUCCAAUGGGGCGGAUAGAAGGAAAUUACAUAAGAUUAAAUGGGAAACUGUCACCAAAUACAAGGACCAAGGGGGAUUGGGUCUCAAGACUGCUGCUUGCAAGAACAAAUCCUUUCUUAUUAAACUUGGAUGGAGAAUGAUUCAUGGGAAGGAUGAAUUAUGGGUUAAACUCUUGGUUGCAAAAUACGUCCAAGGGAGACUGGAGACUACAAAUGUUCAAAAUGUGUCGAACAUAUGGAGCUCUCUUAGAAAGGUGAGUGGAUUACUGCAAGAAGGCAUUCGAUGGGUGGUUCGCAAGGAGAGGUUGACAGGUUUUGCGAAGACAACUGGUCAGGCAUAGGAGCUCCUAGGUCCCUAGUGCAAGGGAGAAGCUGAUCUAUCAUUUAAACAAGUGAAGUUGGGUUGGGAUGAACAGGGACUGGAAGCUCUAUCACUAACUGUUUCGGAAAAUAUUAUGGAGGCUUUUAUAAGCACCCACAUUUCCUCUUGGUCUAAUGCUAAUGAUGGGAUUUACUGGAAUUAUGAGGGUAAAGGUUUAUUUACUCUAUCGAGUGCUUAAGAGCUUGUAAGAAGUAAGUUUGUCCCUCCAGGGAUUGGUUCUGCAAGAGCUGCAACUGGAUGGAAAGAAUAUGGAAAUUCAAAAUACCACCUAAAGUUGGGUUCUUUCUCUGAAAGUGUUUACAUGAUGCGAUUCCUACAGAGAGUUUCCUAGCUUGUAGACAAAUCCUACUUGAUAGUACUUGCUCGUUUUGCUUAAGGCAUCAAGAAACUACCGAACAUAUCCUCAUGAAUUGUGAGAAGUCGAAAUAUUGGUGGUAGUCAAUCAGACCUCCUUCGGUUUCUUCAGGAUCUGUUAAUCAAAGUCUGAAUGACUGGAUCAUCAACAAUAUUACUUCAAAGAAAUGGCACCCUAUUCAUAGUAUACCUUGGAAGGUGUUGUUUGCUUUUACUAUAUGGCAAAUUUGGUUGACCCGUAACAAGAAGAUUUUCGCAGGAAAGGAAUUGUAUAACGACGUCACGAAUAAAGCCAUGGAGCAUUUUGUUAUCUCAGCCCCUAUUAAGUCCUUUCCAAUCCUUAGUGAUGGCUCUGCACUUUCUAACUCAGGGAAGGCGGGAGCAGGAGUGUUGAUUAGGGACAGUAAAGGAGAUUGGAUCGUGGGAAGCUAUCGACACAGUCCCCUACACACCAGUGUGUGUGCGGAACUGUAGGCGCUUAGGGAUGGGUUGCAUCUUGUUAAAGAUCUUAAUGUCAGAAAUAUUCUUAUUGAACUUGAUGCAACUUCUGUCAUUGCUUUCAUCGAGAAUGACACUAUCACUAACCCCCUUUUAUUUUCACUUGUUCACGAGUGCAGGACCAUUAUCUCCUAGUUUGAACGUUACAAAGUAAAACACGCAUUUAGGAAGGCAAUCGCUAUGCAAACAUGCUGGCCAGACUUGGAAGCUCUGUUAUUGUUCCUUCUACUGAAUGUAUUUUGCUAUGUUUGUAUUCCUUUCGUCGACAGCUUCCGGACUAUUUAACCCCCCUUCUGCGUAACUGGGUUGAUGUUGUUUCGGGAUACCAAUUUGUGUUGAACUUUUGCAUGCUAUUAUGAUCAAAAAAUAAAAAUAAAAACCACACUUAAAUAAGAUUUAAACUUGAUGCUAUGGUAUUUAAAUACUCAGUUUUACUACUCUUAUUUUAAUUUUUCCAUAAAUACAUAAAAUUUUAAUAAAUAUACAUUUUUUAGGUAAAUUUUUCACCUAUGUCAUCAUGAUGAUUAAUGAUUUAUACUGUAAUAUUAAUAUAUUAGUAGUAUUUUUUUUAAGAUCAAAAGGAAUAUUAUUUUCUAUCAUUAUAUUGUAAUUAUUUUUUUAUCGUGCAUAAAAUAACUCGUUGGUGGAAGUACAAGG